AAAUGUUUUAGUUUUUUUAUCAUUUGAAGAGACAAUUAAAAUUUGGUUUUUGAACUGGAUUAGUACCCAGGUAAUCAAAAUUAAUUAAUUCGGGAGUAAAGUUUUAUUUAAACCGAAAAAAUAUUGACUGACUUUGGAUUUUUCUUUGGAAUAUGCGUAUGGAGAGCCCUCCUUUUUAGUUAACUCUAUCGGCACAUGUAUGAUUGUUUAGUUUUUAUUUUAUUUGUAAUGCUUUUAUGUUUUGUCAUUUAAAACAGAUAUAUAUUUGGCUUAUGGGUUUGUGAUCGUGUGUUACUAUUAUUAAUUUUUUUUGGAUUAUUUUUUUAUU
rnacentral:rRNA from 1 species